rnacentral:tRNA from 1 species
GCCCCCAUAGCUCAGUCGGUAGAGCGCAUCCAUGGUAAGGAUGAGGUCUCCGGUUCAAGUCCGGAUAGGGGCUCCA